rnacentral:rRNA from 1 species
UACGGGGGGAGCAAGCGUUGUUCGGAUUUACUGGGCGUAAAGGGCGCGUAGGCGGCGUAACAAGUCACUUGUGAAAUCUCCGGGCUUAACCCGGAGCGGCCAAGUGAUACUGUUGUGCUAGAGUGCGGAAGGGGCUACUGGAAUUCUCGGUGUAGCGGUGAAAUGCGUAGAUAUCGUUUGGAACGCCAAUGGUGAAAACAGGUAACUGGGAGUGUGCCGACGCUGAGACACGAAAGCCAGGGGAGCGAACGGG